UGUCGUUGUUAUUAUUAUUAUUAUAUUUAGAUAUCUGUAUAAGUAUACAAAGCCGAUGCCGUUUAUUUAUUGCACACGAUGAUAUCCCGUCGUCAGAUCGAUGUUCCGCGUAAAAGACGCAGGCGUUUACAGACUUUACGUCUCAUGGGUCCUGCUGCAUCCGACAGAUAAAAUUCCGUCGGGGUUAUCGAAGAUUUUUCUUUUGUUUGUUUAUUAUUUAUUUAUUUUUUUUUUUUUUUUAAAUCCCGUCGUUUAAUUCCGGUUUUCAUCGAUUUCGCGUGCCGAUCGUUCUAUUAAUGUAUAAACUAUACAAAUAUAUAAACAGUGAUUUGUUCUCGUUCGUUUUAUUAUUUUAUUUUUUUUUUUUUUGACUCUGUAGGGCAAAACGAAGAAUAUACCUACUAACCUAUUAGUUUCACUAUGAUCUAUACUAUCUUCUGAGCGAAGCGAGGAAUUGAUGAGUUUACAAUGAUGUUUAUUUUUAUUUUUAUCUUUGAACAAUAUUUCUACCAGCAAUUUUGCUCCGAUUUUCAAGUGUAGCACAUUUUUGUUAGGAAAUUGGACUGAGGAAGUUCUUUAAAAAGGUUAUUUUUUGAUUUUCCCAAAGGUUUUUAUAAUAAAUGGGAAUAAAUAUAGGAAAAACCAGAAAAUUUACAAAAUAUAUUAUUUUCGAAUCGUAUGCAUUACGGCCUUUCAAAACUUGCACGACUGAACUCCACUCAGAAUUAUUUUUUUUAGCAAUAGUUCAUUGAAUAACAUUAAAUUUCUCCUUUACUUUCUUAACUUGUAACCUACCAAGGUAGCCUAAAACAGCAGUCCAUCGUGCGAAGUAUUUUUAAAAAUAUUUUUGUGUCUUUGUAAACAACUUGAAAU